AAAAACUUAGGUUAUUAGACCAGGAGCCUUCAAAGCCCCAAGCAGAGGUAACACCCCCCUAGUUUUUG
rnacentral:tRNA from 2 species